ensembl:lncRNA
UCCAGAUGAGUUGCACAGGGAAUGUGUGGGAUUAGUGGGGGCAGGAGCGUUGACAUGGGGACAAUUGGGGGGGGGACAUUGUCUGAUGUGGACAUCUGUGAGCCCCCAGAGCCUUUCGAGGUGUCUCUGCAGGAAGCCAUCCAAAUGAUUUGGGUGAAGCUGGGCCAGUUGGAGCAAGAGAUCCCCACUCUGGGCACCCCUUUCCUGGAGACACCCCCAGGGACCUCAUGCCAGGGCUGGACGGGGGCUGAGCCCUUACAGCUCAUCACAGGGAUGAGGACCCCUUGCGACCCCC